GCCGGGCGCGGUGACACGUGCCUGUAGUCCCAACUACUCGGGAGGCGGAGGUGGGAGGAUCGCUUGAGCCCAGGAGUUCUGGGCUAUAUUGCGCUAUGCCGAUCGGGUGUCCGAACUAAGUUUGGCAUCAAUAUGGUGACCUCCUGGGAGCGGGGGGCCACAAGGUUGCCUAAGGAGGAGUGAACAAGCCCAGGUUGGAAACGGAGCAGGUCAAAACUCCCCUGCUGAUCAGUAGUGGGAUUGCACCUGUGAAUAGCCACUGCACUCCAGCCUGGGCAACAUAGCGAGACCUCGUCUCU
rnacentral:SRP_RNA from 1 species